GAUGAACGCUGGCGGCGUGCUUAACACAUGCAAGUCGAACGGUGAAGCAGAGCUUGCUCUGUGGAUCAGUGGCGAACGGGUGAGUAACACGUGAGCAACCUGCCCCUGACUCUGGGAUAAGCGCUGGAAACGGCGUCUAAUACUGGAUAUGUGACGUGACCGCAUGGUCUGCGUCUGGAAAGAAUUUCGGUUGGGGAUGGGCUCGCGGCCUAUCAGCUUGUUGGUGAGGUAAUGGCUCACCAAGGCGUCGACGGGUAGCCGGCCUGAGAGGGUGACCGGCCACACUGGGACUGAGACACGGCCCAGACUCCUACGGGAGGCAGCAGUGGGGAAUAUUGCACAAUGGGCGAAAGCCUGAUGCAGCAACGCCGCGUGAGGGAUGACGGCCUUCGGGUUGUAAACCUCUUUUAGCAGGGAAGAAGCGAAAGUGACGGUACCUGCAGAAAAAGCGCCGGCUAACUACGUGCCAGCAGCCGCCGUAAGAC
rnacentral:rRNA from 1 species